AAUACUGCACUGCAAAAAUUGUAAUAAUUUUCUACAUGUGUAUCGACACAUCAAUAUUAGAUCCUAUCUCACACAUUGAAUUUAUUUAAAUGAGAUUGAAUGAACCUUGGUGUUGUGAAUCAAAAAUAUGUGUGAAUCCACAUAGCAAAAAUCUAUGUGGUUUCACACAUAACGCGUAUAUGGAAAAUGAACUCGUGAACAUCAACAACGAAAACGACAAAAACAGAUUAGGAGCAGAUCAACCAUUUUGUAAACCUAAGUCUGUAGACUUUCAACUGCAGUUUUCAGCAAGUAGAUUGUUUUAUUCCGAGAAGGUGGAACCAAAGGAAGCUUGUGUACUGCGAUUCCGAAUCAUCGGAAACCACGCCGAAACCACAAACUCCUCAUCUAUAAUGGCUGCAUAUCUGGCGAAGACGGAGCGCAUCGCGAUUGAAGAUUUUCCCGCUACGAAACUCCAAGGAAGGCAGGCAGCUAAACCACCCCUGAACAGCGGCCACCAUUCCCUUAUUCAUCCAGUUCCGCAACACCAGAAAAUCUCCCGGUUUCUUCAUUGGUACAUGCUGGACCAUAGUAAAAAUGUAAUUUUUGGAUGAUUUUAUAAGUAGCGUGAUUGAAAGAGCAAUAAACAACUACCAUAUUUCAUUGUUAUAUGUGAUUAA
rnacentral:lncRNA from 1 species